rnacentral:rRNA from 1 species
GAUGAACGCUGGCGGCGUGCCUAAUACAUGCGAGUCGAGCGAACGGACGAGAAGCUUGCUUCUCUGAUGUUAGCGGCGGACGGGUGAGUAACACGUGGAUAACCUACCUAUAAGACUGGGAUAACUUCGGGAAACCGGAGCUAAUACCGGAUAAUAUUUUGAACCGCAUGGUUCAAAAGUGAAAGACGGUCUUGCUGUCACUUAUAGAUGGAUCCGCGCUGCAUUAGCUAGUUGGUAAGGUAACGGCUUACCAAGGCAACGAUGCAUAGCCGACCUGAGAGGGUGAUCGGCCACACUGGAACUGAGACACGGUCCAGACUCCUACGGGAGGCAGCAGUAGGGAAUCUUCCGCAAUGGGCGAAAGCCUGACGGAGCAACGCCGCGUGAGUGAUGAAGGUCUUCGGAUCGUAAAACUCUGUUAUUAGGGAAGAACAUAUGUGUAAGUAACUGUGCACAUCUUGACGGUACCUAAUCAGAAAGCCACGGCUAACUACGUGCCAGCAGCCGCGGUAAUACGUAGGUGGCAAGCGUUAUCCGGAAUUAUUGGGCGUAAAGCGCGCGUAGGCGGUUUUUUAAGUCUGAUGUGAAAGCCCACGGCUCAACCGUGGAGGGUCAUUGGAAACUGGAAAACUUGAGUGCAGAAGAGGAAAGUGGAAUUCCAUGUGUAGCGGUGAAAUGCGCAGAGAUAUGGAGGAACACCAGUGGCGAAGGCGACUUUCUGGUCUGUAACUGACGCUGAUGUGCGAAAGCGUGGGGAUCAAACAGGAUUAGAUACCCUGGUAGUCCACGCCGUAAACGAUGAGUGCUAAGUGUUAGGGGGUUUCCGCCCCUUAGUGCUGCAGCUAACGCAUUAAGCACUCCGCCUGGGGAGUACGACCGCAAGGUUGAAACUCAAAGGAAUUGACGGGGACCCGCACAAGCGGUGGAGCAUGUGGUUUAAUUCGAAGCAACGCGAAGAACCUUACCAAAUCUUGACAUCCUUUGACAACUCUAGAGAUAGAGCUUUCCCCUUCGGGGGACAAAGUGACAGGUGGUGCAUGGUUGUCGUCAGCUCGUGUCGUGAGAUGUUGGGUUAAGUCCCGCAACGAGCGCAACCCUUAAGCUUAGUUGCCAUCAUUAAGUUGGGCACUCUAAGUUGACUGCCGGUGACAAACCGGAGGAAGGUGGGGAUGACGUCAAAUCAUCAUGCCCCUUAUGAUUUGGGCUACACACGUGCUACAAUGGACAAUACAAAGGGCAGCGAAACCGUGAGGUCAAGCAAAUCCCAUAAAGUUGUUCUCAGUUCGGAUUGUAGUCUGCAACCCGACUACAUGAAGCUGGAAUCGCUAGUAAUCGUAGAUCAGCAUGCUACGGUGAAUACGUUCCCGGGUCU